AAACGCAGACCGACCCCAAGCUCUUCCCACUGAGCCUCAGCAGCGUCGACGACUCCGGGAACGCGAUCAUCGGCUGCCUGGUCUCCGGCUUCUUCCCAUCGCAGCCUGUGAGUGUGACCUGGAGCCACACCGGGCAGGGCACGUCCGUCACGAACUUCCCCGCCGUGCAGACAACCUCCGGAGGCCUGUACUCCAUGACCAGCCAGCUGACCCUGCCGGCCUCCCAGUGCCCGGCUGAAGAGAACAAGAAAUGCCAAGUCCAGCACCUGUCCAGCUCCAAGUCUGUGGACGUGCCCUGCCAAGAAAGCAUCCUACCCUCACGGUGCCAGCCGAAGUUGUCACUGCACCGGCCCGCGAUCGAGGACCUGCUCCUGGGCUCCAAUGCCAACCUCACGUGUACGCUGAGCGGCCUGGAUGACGCCCAGGGGGCCACCUUCACCUGGGAGUCCUCGGGAGAGAAGGAAGCCAUCCAGGGCACCCCGCAGCGUGAUGCCUCCGGCUGCUACAGCGUGUCCAGCGUCCUGCCAGGCUGCGCCGAGCCAUGGAACCGCGGAGAGAACUUCUCAUGCACCGUCACCUACCCUGGGUCCAAAAGCCCACUGACGGCCACCAUCGCCAAAACCCUAGGAAACACCCUCCGGCCCCAGGUCCACCUGCUGCCGCCGCCGUCGGAGGAGCUGGCCCUCAACGAGCUGGUGACGCUGACGUGCGUGGUGCGGGGCUUCAGCCCCGAGGAGGUGCUGCUGCGGUGGCUGCAUGGGAACCAGGAGCUUUCCCGGGAGAAGUACCUGGUCUGGGGACCCCUGCCAGAGGCCAGCCAAGGUGCUGCCACGUUCGCCGUGACCAGCAUGCUGCGUGUGGAGGCCGAGUCAUGGAAGAGUGGGGACAGCUAUUCCUGCAUGGUGGGCCACGAGGCCCUGCCCAUGGCCUUCACCCAGAAGACCAUCGACCGCCUGGCCGGUAAACCCACCCAUGUCAACGUGUCCGUGGUCCUGUCCGAGGUGGACGGCGUCUGCUACUGAGCUGCCUCCACCUGCCCACCCGCCCUCCAAUAAACUCCAUGCUCGCCGAA